UGUGAGGCUAGGAGUGUUAUAAUGCUCCCA
rnacentral:piRNA from 1 species